rnacentral:lncRNA from 10 species
AAAAAAAAAAAAAAAAAAUUACAGCUCAAGAGUAAAAAUAUUUGCAAAUAUGGUUUGACCUUAUUUCUGCUAUUGUUUUACUUCCACUUCUCUCAGAGUUUAUUCUGCUAAUUCUGCCCUUUACUCUGCACCUGACUCUGCCCUUGCCACUCCACUGAAGGUCCUCUUUUCCAGGUUGCCAGCAUCCCCUGCACUGCUGAACCAAUGCAUCCCUUCUCUGCCUUGACCUAACUUAGUCUCCCAUAAACAGCCAACAGUAUUGUUCAUGCUCUCCCUCUUGAUAUUUCCACACCCCCAUUUAUGUUUGUCCACCAUCAUUUUUGGAUUUUUCCCCUUCCACUUUUAAACUUCCCCAAAAGCUCUUCUUUUUCCUCUCCAUUCCUUAAACAUUGGUGAUUUUUUGAUGUAUGUCCUCAGUCUUUUUUUUUUUCUUUUUAUUCAUCCUCAUUCUCUUCCUGAGAAAUAUCUUGUUGUUUCAAGGCUUUAAUUAUCAGCUAUAUGCUUAUUGUUAAAUCUACAUCUCUGAUCUAGCUGCUUCUUCUGAGCCCCAGACUUAUGUAUCCAACUGCUUACUGGGCAUCUCUGCCUGGAUGUCCCAUAGUCCCUCAAACCCUAUAUGCCCAGAUUGGAACUCAUCCUCCCCACAAGCCUGUUUCUCCUGUGCACACCUAUCAGUGCCUGGUAUUCCAGGUCGCAUCUUAACCAAGCUAGAACCCUGGAGGUCCCAUUUGACUCCUCUCUCUCUGUGAACCCCCAUCCGUAUUAGUCUAUUUGGCUGCUAUGACAAAAUAUCAUGGGCUAGGUGACUUAAACAACAGAAAUUUAUUUUCUCAUAGUUCUGGAAGCUGGAAAGUCUAAGAUGAAUGUGCUGGUAAAUUUAGUUUUUGCUGAGGGCUUUUUUCCUGGUUUACAGAUGGCCACCUUUUUAAUGUGUCCUUACAUGGCGGGCAGAGAGAAAGAGAGAGAGCAAGUUCUCUGGUUUCUCUUCUUAUAAGGAAGGACACAUCCUAUUGGAUCAGGGCCCCAUACCUAUGGCCUCAUUUAACCUUAAUUGCUUCUUUAGAGGCCCUAGCUCCAAAUAUAGCCACAUAAAAGUUAGGGUUUCAAAAUAUAAAUUUUGUCGGGAGUUGAGAGGGACACAAAGUUUCAGUUCUUAAAACCAUCCAUCAGUCACCAAGGUCUUUAAUUCUUUGUAAUAAAUAGUGUGUGAAAUGCCCACUUCUCUCAACCCCGUGGUCAUUAGUUAAGUUCUGACACCAUCAUCUUUCUUUCACCUGAUUUACCACAGCAAGAAUCCUUACUGUUUCCCUGCUUCCAGUCUAGCCCUCUCCCAUCUAGUCCCUACACUGCAGCUAGGGUACCCUGUCUCAAAUGCAAAUCUGAUCACAUUACCCUUCUCUUAAAUCUUUUCAACGACUCUCACAAUAAAGCCCAGUCCUGUUCAUGUGGCUUAUGAAGACCUCUGUGACCUGGGCUUUGCUUGUCACCCCAGUCUUACCUGUGACAGCUCCCCACUGUCUUAGUCUGUUUUGUGUUGCUGUAAAUGAAUACCUGAAGCUGGGCUGUUGAUAAAGAAAAAAGGAUCAUUUGGCUUAUGGUUCCAAUGACUGGAAAGUUCAAGAUUGGGCGUCUGCAAUGGGUGAGGGCCACAGGCUGCUUCCACUUAUGGUGUAAGGGGAAGGGGAGUCGGUGUGUGCGGAUAUCACAUGCUGAGAGAGGGGACAAGCAAGAGAAGUGGGAGGCGCCAGCUCUUUUUAACAACCAAUGUUUGAGGGAAUUAAUAGAAUGAGAACUCACUCACCCUCACCCCCCGUGGGGGGCAUUAAUGUAUUCAUGCAGGAUCCAUCUCCAUGACCCAAACAUCUUCCAUUAGGCCCCACCUCCCAAUAUGGCCACACUGGGGAUUAAAUUUCAACAUAAGGCUUAGAGGGGACAAACAAACAUCCAAACUAUAGCACCCACCUUGUGCUCAGUGCUCCAGGCUUAAGAAGCAUCCACUUUCCCCAAGGAACUAUAUUUUUUCUCUUGCACGUCUUUAAGAACUUACUGUUUUUUUCCUGCAAUUGUGUUCUGCUCCUUCUCCCUCCCUCCUUUCCUUUCUUUUUCCCUGUCUCCUCCCCAGCAUCUGAAGAGCCUGGCUAAUGUUUCCUCAUCUCUCAGGUCCCAGCGUUGUCAACACCACUUUCUCCCAGAAGCUUUUCCUACCCUCUAAGGUUGAGCGGGUGUCCUUCCUCCAGAGGCUCCUUUGCUUACUCAUUUCUUCUUACUGUGUCCCAGAGUCUAGCACAGAGCUUGGCACAAAGCCAGCUUUCACUAAUUAGAAAUGGAUGAAUACAUCUCACCCACCGUUUAGGCCAGUUAAUCAGGCAAUAAACCCGUUCUAUUCUGGUAACAGUGUCCUCCACCUCUGAAGGAAAAAGUAAACCACAUCUACAUUAUGUCAGUGUGCUAUUUUAGGGGAGUCAGCAGGUGAUGUCAUAGGACAGAGCUCUGCAGGGUGGGUGGGAAUGGUCUUGGAUGCAGGGAGAUCAGCUCAGCCACUGUGUAGGAGGGACGUCUUCAUGUCUUCUCAUUUGCUGCCAGGCCGUCAUGACAGCUUUCUGUCUCUAUGUGAAUGAAUGACUGCAAACCUGAGAGGUAUUUAAAACAUCCAACAACUGCUAUGGCUGCAUAGAUAAAUAAGUGAAUAAGAAAAUGACAGUGCUCGCUUUGGUGGCACACAUACCAAAACUGGAAUGAUACAGAGAACAUUAGCACAGUCCCUGUACAAGGAUGACACACAAGUUUGUGAAGUGUUAAAAAAAAAAAAAGAAAAUCAGAAAUGGGUUUCUUAUUCUCUAACUAAACUAAACUGUAUGUCACAAAACAAGUGAUAUAACUAAUUCUGGUGCAUAUCACUCACCAAAUUAUUCUAAUAAUUUCCAACUUGUUUAUUGAUUUUAGAAAAAACUGUUUUUGUGGAUUUCACUGACUAAAUAGUGCUCCUUUCUGAGCCGUGAUUGAACACAAGAACUACAUCAAGGUCUUCCAAGGAUUUUACUAUUAGGAACGGUGUGCAUGUAGAUGCUAGCACCUCCUCCACAGCGGGACUUGGAGAGCCUGUGUCCCAGCCUCACCAAUAAUGCCAGUGCUAAGUUGCUGCCCACCAUUUACUCUGUUAUUCCAACCCAGACCCACGUAGCGCAGUGGGGCCUCCGCUGCCGCCUCUGCCACCAUGUUGGUUAGCUGAGUGGCCACCAGGGGCCACCCUCCCUAGGCCACCAAUGCUUCCAGACCCUUUCACUGCCUUUCUGGCCUCAGCAGGUGACAAAGCCUGGAAGUGGAAAUGGCUCGGAUGAGGUAUCCUUAUUAGCCAGGGGAACUACCAGCAGCCCGAGGCAAUGGAUUUUGGUGGGGGAGGAGGGUUUGAGCUUCACAGCAUUUCCCUGCUCAGAAAUGUUCUUUCUUUCUAGUAGGAAAUACUUAUGUAAGGGUCCCUUGGCCUGGCAUGGGGGUGCCUUGGUGCUAUGUUCCAGUCUGCAUUCCUGCCCCAUGUCCCUUUACUUUCUAUGUGUGCCUUGUGUUGCAGACAAACUGCAACAUUCCCGUACACACACACACACACACACGCUCCUGCCUCUUUCCUUGUGUUUGUGUAACCACUCAGUGUGUUCUUCUUGCCCACUGCUAAGAUAGAGCCAAUUUAUCAAGACAGGGGGAUUGCAAUAAAGAAAGGGUUUAAUACGUGCAGAACCCGCUAAACGGCAGAUUGGUGUUUGAUUAUUACUAAAAUCAGCCUCCCUGAAAAUUUGGAGGCUAGGAUUUUUCAACCAUAGUUUGGUGGGCAGGGGCUAGGGUAUGGGUGCUGCUGAUUGGUUGGGAAUGCAAUCAUAGGGGUGUGGAAAACCGUCCUCCAGCACUGAGUCUGCUUCUGGGUGGGGGCCACAGAGGAGUCGCUGGUCCCCGUAUGACCAUCCCAUCAUCAGAAAUGCAAACGUCUGAAAAGACAUCUCAAAAGGCCAAUCUCAGAUUCUACAAUAGUGAUGCUAUUUACAGGAGUACUUGGGGAAGUUGCAAAUCUUAUGUCUUCCAGAAUAAUGGCUGGUAGUCAUUUAACUAUGAAUUGAGGCCCCUCUCAUCCUCCUAACCUGGUGACCUUUAGUUAGUUUUAUAGAGGUGGUAGUUUUGGGGACGGGCUAUUAUCAAUUAAGCUAUAAACUAAAUUUCUCCCUAAAUUAUCUUGGCCCACACUCAGGCAUGACGAUGGGUAGUUAGGACAUUAAAGGCAAGAUAGAGUUGGUUAGACCAGAUCUCUCUCACUGUCGUCAUUCCCGCUGUUACGAUUUUUGUAAAGGUGGUUUUCCUUGGACUGUUGCCUCUUUCUCAGUUGUUCUCCCUCCUCCUAUCCUCAAUUCUACCUGUUAAUAUUUAUUCUCUCCUUCAGAGCUUGGCUGACAUGCUGCCACCUCCUAUGAAGGGAUUCUUGAUCCCUCCAACCAGAUUAUAAUCUUUCUCUCACAUUUAUUCCUUCUCUUAUGACAUUGACCCUACUAGACCUUAUAUUUUUACAUUAGUAUUUGCAUAGUUAAUUUUUAAAAUAUUCCAUAUUUUCCUAAACUGAUGAUCCCAGAGAGAUAUUUGCUCUGCUUUUCCUUUUCAUUCCCUGAAGAUCUUAGUCUAGAGCCUUUCACAUAACAGGCAUAUAAUCCUUUUUGGGUAGGAUUUGGAAUUCCUACUUUUUUCUUUUUUUAGUUAUUGUCUCUUAUAGUCUUGUUUGAUGGAAUUAUUUUUGUGUGAUAUGUAAAAGUGUUAUGAAGGGAAAGCUCUAGAACCAAUGUUUCUACAUUUCUUUCUACAGAAAGAAAUGCUUCUGGUUUCUGCAUUUCUCUAAGCCUUAGAUUCUUCCUCUGCUGAAAUGUGGGUAUUAAUGGUCCAUGCCAUGCAAGACUGUUGUGUGGAUUAAAUGAGACCAUAUGUUACUCAGCACAAAGUCCGCCAUGCAGUAAGUGAUCAGGAAAUAGCAGUUGUUUUUGCUGUUAUUAUUACUUUGCUCUAAUAGAAGGAAGAUUUUCCUUCUUUCACUGGUAUUUGGUAAUUCUUUCAUUCAACUUAUAUUUAUUCUCUAACUACUGGUACUGAAAAUCCUAUGCUUAGAAAAAAUUCCAGACAAGUCUCCUGUUUUCAUGGAGGUCAGUCUAGAGUGGAGUCAGAUAUUUAUUCAGCAAUUAUGCAAGGAGAGAUACAUGGUUCUGCAGGACCCUAGUUUAGGGAGCCUAGACCUAGUGAGAGAGGUCAAGGAAGAUGUUCCUGAAGUGUUCAAAUGUGGCUGUCAACUUCCUGGAGAAAGUAGUUUAGGGCUAGUUUGACCAGUGCUGGGAUUAGGGUAAGGCAAGUGAGGCACUUGCUAUAGGGACAAAAUUUAAGGGAGCCUCAAAAGAUUCAGUGAUCAAGAUAAACAAUAUUUUAAUGCGAUAUUAAAAAUAAAAUUUAACGCAAAAAAGUUCCCAAUGAACAAAACAUCACAAUUUUGGAUAAAGACAGGAUCAGUAACAAUGUUGUAUUGAAUCAUAUUGGAGCCUUAGGCAAAAGGAGAAAAUCAAAUACUGAUCCUUAGUUUUAGCCCUGGAUUUGACUAGGUAAGAAUAACUUUAAAAGUCCUUUUAUAUCCAGAGAAUCUGGAAAACUAAGUACACUUACAUGGAAACUUCUAAUUUUAUCCAGCAGAGGGCAGUGAUGCCUAAAUAAACAGUUGGAGGCUUUUGCUGUCAUUUUCAUCAAUCAUCAUCAUCAAAUUUGGGGAGGGAUUAACUUAAAGGUUAAAGGUUUUUGCAAUGGAAAUAGGGUAUGCUGUGGAAACUUUAUGUAACUCUGGUGUUAGAGGACCAGGAAACUCUUAUAAACUGCCAUACAACAAGCUUUCUUUUUAGUAGAUGUAUUUUUACAGACAUGAUUUGAAAUGUAGCCAAUUCCAGGACUUACAAACCAUGAAGCCAUGUAGCGAAGAGCAUUCUGUAAUUUUUGAGGGGGUCAAUUUUUGGAGGCAGCAAUUAGUGGCUGAUUUCCUUUUCAUUCUGGCCUUCUUUCAACAUUAAAAUCAGAGACUUAGGAAGCUGGACAUCAUGUAGAAAGAGAGAUCCUCUCAUUUGCAAGCUAAUACAGGGGAGGUUGGCUUAUUUAUUUGUUAAUUCACUUGUUCAUUCAUUAUCUCAUUUAUUCAAGGAUUUCACAAACAUAUAUUGUCUACCAUAUAACAAAUACUGUGGUGGCACAAAGGGACACAGAGACUCAGAUGAAUCACAGUGCUCACCUUUCAUGAACAACUACUUGAGAACAGGAAAGAGUGGCAGAAGUAGAUCCUUGUGAUACUUAGGCUAAGUUGGUGUGCUGAGAUAUAUGCCAAGCACUCUAGGAACUUGGUUCAAGAGGAGCUCACAGGUCUUCAUCUGUUUACCGUUGAGGGUAUUUUUGGAAUCUAAGAUAAUUUUGGAGUUUUAGUAAUUUGUUUUUAUUUGACUCUGAUUUUGGCACAAAAAAAAUACCUCUAAUGAAACUUCAUGCAUUUCUCAGGUCCUAGUUCAAUGGGGACAUCCAUCACAUGCUUCUUGAUGACUGCCUGAGAAAGAGGAUGGAAAGGCCAAUCCCUAGAGAAAUAAUCUAGGCACGUAGUUUGUAAACUGUGGCUUGGGAAACUCUAGGGCCGUGCUUCUCCAGUGUGGUCUGUAUCACCUACAUCAAAUACUUUUGAGUACUUGUUAAAAAUCCAAAUUUCCUUCCUGGAGACCUACAGAAUCAGAGUCUGGAGGGACUGGGGGCAGGGAGGGUAGGGACCUGCACUUCCACAAGUGUUCCAGGUAGUUCUUAUGCAUACUAAAGAGCUCCAGGGGCUCUACUCCUUGCCUUUGCCAGCUCACAUAGACCCCUUCAACCAGAUCACCUCUUCUUCUAAAGGGUAAGUUCCAUGAGGUCUGGGCUUUUUGUCCAUUGUGUUCACAGCUGUAUCCCCAGUACUUUGAACAAUGGUGCACAAUAGAUAUUUGUUGACUGAAUAAAUUAAGACAGUAUAUAAAUUGAAUUUCCACCUAAGAGUUCAUUUUGACCAAGUUUUCUAAUACUAAAAAAAAAAAGUGCCUAGACCAUAGUUUUGGAUCAUCUUCUUUCCUUAAAGAAGGGAAGCAAAGAUAGCUGAAAGCCCUUAGGUUUUUGAGCCCCUCUUAGAUAAUUACAUUGAGUAUGGAACCUAGUUAGCCACAUUUUCUUUUUCUCUUU